rnacentral:tRNA from 1 species
GAGCCCGUGGCUCAAUGGUAGAGCGUUCGACUCAGAUUCCAAAGGUCAGGGGAUCGAAUCCCAGAUGCUUUA